GAGAAAUCAGAGUGUUAACUUGGAAAGAAGGAACGAUUAAUUGUACCAAAAUUUAAGAAUAUAAUGUCUGGAAAAGCGGAGCCAAUUUAUAAGUAUUAAAUUUGGAAAUAUUUCAAGCUAAGGACACCAGUAAAUAGUGAGUAUGGCACAACUCAAGGGAACCGCCUGGAAAUGGGUUUUUGACAAAAGCAGGGAAAAGGCGCAUCACCCAAGCUGAGACUGCUAGACUACGCCACUUGGUAGUACGAUCUAUAGUUAUUAUAAUAGUCUGAUAUCAGACUUCCCUUUAUGUAAUAAAGUUAGACUCGAUAGUAAUGUUGUAAGACGAUCGACCCUGGACUUGUGGGGAAAGAGUUGGUUGUAUUAUAUUAAUAUGUAAUACAAGUGUUGUUUUG